AUGUAUUGCAUAAACAUCAACAAGCUCCUUGGCCCUCCUUUGGUUGCUUACGUCUCUCUCUCUAUAUAUAUAUAUAUAUAUAUAUUAACUCAGAUUGGAAUAUGACCAAGAACCACAGUAACAGGGGUUGCAUCAGUGGUGACCUAUGAAGAACCUUCCUUUACACUAGAGUGCGUACGUAGCACAAGGCUUAUAAGGAGUUUGGGCCUUUUUUGGUGUUGAUUCUGAGGCCUUGGACAUCUUGAUAUCUUGCCCUUAACAAACUUCAUCUUUGGAAAGUAAGAAAAAUUUGAAAUGUGCAAGUGAGUUGGGUGAAGGAUGAGAGAAGAACAAUGUAGGUCAGUUUUCUGAGAUUUGAGAGAGAGGGCGUGAUUAAGUGAGUAAUGAGGAUUUGAAAGCGUGUUGUUGGAUGGUUAAGGGAAGUUACUAAUGAUUUCCGUAAAUUAGCGUGCACCACUAAAUGGAGGGAAGAGAAAAUAAUUGUUGCACGCCUCCUUUCCUCUAAGAGAAAUGAUAACUCACACCCACCGCAUGUAACAGUCCGAUUUUCGCUAGAUUUAUUUUUAAUUGUUUUAAUAUGUGUUUAUAU
rnacentral:lncRNA from 1 species